AGGGAUGUUCCCAAAGUCUAGAAAGGUGCUAUUGACUCUGCAGUACCAGGAAGUUUUAAUAUUGUUAGAAUGUAUUGCUUCUUUAUUGACUCCCAGCUUUUCCAACUCUGGUUGUGAACCUUGGUAUACUUCCACCAAGCUACCUGUGAGUAGAGGGGCUGGUUCUUGAGGCUCUCAUGGCCCUAGUCUUGGCUGUCACUAAUGCAGAGUGUGAUCUAGGCAAAAUCACUUUCCCUUCCAGGAUCAACGGUCACUCACACUUGGCUUCUGUGGGUGGAACCCAGUCCCUAAAGUCUCCAAUGGUUUCAUUAACCCUGGUGGGGACAGCAGCAAGAGCCGAGGAACUGAAGUGAGUUUCCUUGAUGGAAACAAACAAAUUACACUUCAUGGAGUUGUUGUGAGAACAUUAUGAGCUAACAAACGUGGCGUAAGGUUGCACUGUUUGAGACAUAUUAAUACUAAAAAAAGUACGUAUUGUUUAUAUGAAAUUCAAGUUUAACUGGGCAUCUUGUAUUUUUAUUUGCUAGAUCUGGCAAGCCUAACGUGAUGGCACUCAGCACAGUACCUGAUACAUAGUUGGCACCCAAAAAGAUAUAUGUUAAAUUUAACUUUAAGCUGUUCUCCUCUGGAAUAGAAGAGAAGGGAUAAAACUGAGAGA
rnacentral:lncRNA from 10 species